rnacentral:rRNA from 1 species
UACGUAGGGUGCAAGCGUUAAUCGGAAUUACUGGGCGUAAAGCGUGCGCAGGCGGCUUCGCAAGACAGAUGUGAAAUCCCCGGGCUCAACCUGGGAACUGCAUUUGUGACUGCAUGGCUGGAGUGCGGCAGAGGGGGAUGGAAUUCCGCGUGUAGCAGUGAAAUGCGUAGAUAUGCGGAGGAACACCGAUGGCGAAGGCAAUCCCCUGGGCCUGCACUGACGCUCAUGCACGAAAGCGUGGGGAGCAAACAGG